AGGAAGGAGAGGAAGACCAAGAGCUGUAGUCUCUGAUGAAAUUAGGGCCACAGUGACUGACCAUGUGGUAAAUCAUGGACUCUCUUUUCGAGAGGCUGGUUCAAGGGUGCAGCCAAACUUGCAACAAUUAUGAGAAUUUUCCAGCACAACAACAGGAUGCAUAGGUCGCCACCUAUAGGAGGAAGAGGUCAAAUUUUCACGGAUGUCCAGGAAACAGCUGUCAUUGAUAUGGUCAUUACAAACAAUGCCAUAAAGCUGAGGGAAAUUCGGGACAGAGUGUUGAGAGACAACGCAACCUUUGCCAAUGUGAACACCGUCAGCACUACAACAACUGCCAGAGUCCUUGAGAAGCAUCAAGUAAGGAUGAAGCAACUGUACAAAAUACCUUUGGAAAGAAAUGAUGAACGUGUCAAACAACUCCGUUAUCAAUACGUUCAGACGGUCAUGGAGAUGGAGGCCAGACCAACUCCACAUGAAUUUGUGUAUGUGGAUGAAGCAGGAUUCAACCCGGCAAAAAAAGACGCAAAGGAAGAAAUGUCAUUGGGCAGCGGGCAACAGUUGAUGUACUAGGCCAGAGAGGCACAAAUAUUACAAUGUGUGCAGCCCUCUCCAAUGAUGGUUUGCUUUUACAUAAACCUCUUACUGGCCCAUACAACACAGAGAGACUCAUUUCUUUUUUAGAUGACCUUCAUAUUCUACUUGUGCCAGCAGGGGAGAUCGGUGAAAGGGCAAUAAAUGCUACAUUUGUUGUUGUGUGGGACAAUGUGGCAUUCCACCACUCUGCUGCAGUGACUGUGUGGCUCACUGCACAUCCCAGGAUGUCUGUGCUGUUUUUACCUCCAUACUCACCCUUCUUGAACCCCAUAGAAGAUUUUUUUUUUUCCAGUGUGGAGGUGGAAAGUUUAUGAUGACUCUCCACACAACCAGCUCUCCUUGCUGGAUGUAAUGAAUGCUGGGUGUGGAGAUAUUUCUCCUGAAGCCUGCCAGGGGUGGAUCAGACACUCAAAAAGGUUCUACCCACAGUGCAUCAGAGAAGACAUCAGAUGUGACGUGGUUGGAAACAUGAGGUCAAAUGCAGAUGACAGGGUGUGAAUGUUGCAGCCUACUGGUUUCUGAGUUUUAUCUCUUGAUUUCUGUUCUGCCCUGUGAAUUCUGAAUUCUGCUUUUUUUGUUGUUGUUGUCUUUACAGUAAACAAGUUUUUUUGUAAGGUCCCAAAGAACCUAUGCAAAG